GUCGAGAAUAAUUCACAAUGGGGGAAACCCUGAUGGUGCAACGCCGCGUGGAGGAUGAAGGUCUUCGGAUUGUAAACUCCUGUCAUCUGGGAGUAAGACCUGACGGUGAAUAGCCGGCAGGGUUGAUAGUACCAGAAGAGGAAGGGACGGCUAACUUCGUGCCAGCAGCCGCGGUAAUACGAAGGUCCCAAGCGUUGUUCGGAAUCACUGGGCGUAAAGGGAGCGUAGGCGGCGUGGUAAGUCAGAUGUGAAAUCCCGGGGCUCAACCCCGGAACUGCAUCCGAUACUGCCAUGCUUGAGGGUUGGAGAGGUAACUGGAAUUCUCGGUGUAGCAGUGAAAUGCGUGGAUAUCGAGAGGAACACUCGUGGCGAAGGCGAGUUACUGGACAGCAUCUGACGCUGAGGCACGAAGGCCAGGGGAGCGAAAGGGAUUAGAAACCCCUGUAGUCC
rnacentral:rRNA from 1 species